UACAGAGGGGGCAAGCGUUGUUCGGAAUUACUGGGCGUAAAGGGCGCGUAGGCGGCCUUCUAAGUCGAACGUGAAAUCCCCGGGCUCAACCCGGGAACUGCGUCCGAUACUGGAAGGCUUGAAUCCGGGAGAGGGAUGCAGAAUUCCAGGUGUAGCGGUGAAAUGCGUAGAUAUCUGGAGGAAUACCGGUGGCGAAGGCGGCAUCCUGGACCGGCAUUGACGCUGAGGAGCGAAAGCCAGGGGAGCAAACGGG
rnacentral:rRNA from 1 species